rnacentral:rRNA from 1 species
UUUGGCCUACGGGAGGCAGCAGUGAGGAAUAUUGGUCAAUGGGCGAGAGCCUGAACCAGCCACGUCGCGUGAGGGACGACGGCCCUACGGGUUGUAAACCUCUUUUGCCGGGGGACAAACGGCGGCACGCGUGCCGUCCUGAGGGUACCCGGAGAAAAAGCGUCGGCUAACUCCGUGCCAGCAGCCGCGGUAAUACGGAGGAUGCGAGCGUUAUCCGGAUUUAUUGGGUUUAAAGGGUGCGUAGGCGGGAUGCCAAGG